rnacentral:rRNA from 1 species
UGGGGAAUAUUGCACAAUGGGCGCAAGCCUGAUGCAGCCAUGCCGCGUGUAUGAAGAAGGCCUUCGGGUUGUAAAGUACUUUCAGCGGGGAGGAAGGCGUUGUGGUUAAUAACCGCAGCGAUUGACGUUACUCGCAGAAGAAGCACCGGCUAACUCCGUGCCAGCAGCCGCGGUAAUACGGAGGGUGCAAGCGUUAAUCGGAAUUACUGGGCGUAAAGCGCACGCAGGCGGUCUGUCAAGUCGGAUGUGAAAUCCCCGGGCUCAACCUGGGAACUGCAUCCGAAACUGGCAGGCUAGAGUCUUGUAGAGGGGGGUAGAAUUCCAGGUGUAGCGGUGAAAUGCGUAGAGAUCUGGAGGAAUACCGGUGGCGAAGGCGGCCCCCUGGACAAAGACUGACGCUCAGGUGCGAAAGCGUGGGGAGCAAACA